rnacentral:lncRNA from 1 species
GUUGUUGGUUGUUCUAGGUGACUACCGAUUAUGCUGUUCUUUCUGUACUAACUCAAGCUCAUUCUAGAUUACAUAAGUGUGUGACUUUGCUAAGUCCAUUAUGCAAAUAUACAUCUAUACACAGUCUGCCCUUUCUAAUUAAUCAUGCUUGUUGGAUGAUAUGCGAACUGGAUUCAAAAAUAAGAGAGCUUAGUAUUUACCUGCGAAUGCUUGUGUUUGGGUGGCUGCUGUGUGAUUGAAUCGGUGGG